UGGUGAAAGUUUUUGCAAUUUACA
rnacentral:miRNA from 1 species